GACGAACGCUGGCGGCGCGCUUAAUACAUGCAAGUCGAGCGAGAACCAGUCCUUCGGGACUGGGGAAAGCGGCGAACGGGUGAGUAACACGUGGGUAAUCUGCCCUCGGCACUGGGAUAGCCCGGGGAAACCCGGAUUAAUACCGGAUAGCCUUUCGAGCCUUCGGGCUCGUCAGAAAAGGUGGCUUCGGCUUCCGGCUGAGGAUGAGCCCGCGGCGGAUUAGCUUGUUGGUGAGGUAAUGGCUCACCAAGGCUCCGAUCUGUAGCUGGUCUGAGAGGACGAUCAGCCACACUGGGACUGAGACACGGCCCAGACUCCUACGGGAGGCAGCAGUGGGGAAUCUUAGACAAUGGGGGCAACCCUGAUCUAGCCAUGCCGCGUGAGUGAUGAAGGCCUUAGGGUUGUAAAGCUCUUUCAGCUGGGAAGAUAAUGACGGUACCAGCAGAAGAAGCCCCGGCUAACUCCGUGCCAGCCGCCGCCGUAAAAC
rnacentral:rRNA from 1 species